rnacentral:lncRNA from 1 species
CAAAAAUAUAAAUGCAACAAUUUCAAAGUGUUAUAGUGCAUAUAAGGAAAUCAGUCAAUUGAAAUAAAUUCAUUAGGCCAUAAUCUAUGGAUUUCACAGAACUGGGCUGGGGCCUGGCCUGGGAGGGCAUAGGCCCACCCACCACCCAAUCAGAAUGAGUUUUUCUUAACAAAAGGGCUUUAUUACAGGCAGAAAUACUCCUCAGCACUUCGCCACCCCUCCCCACAGUUGAUCCCGCAGGUGAAGAAGCCGGAUGUGGAGGUAAUGGGCUGGUGUGGUUACACCUGGUGUGAGGCAGGUUGGACAUACUGGCAAAUUCUCUAAAAUGACGUUGGUAGAGAAAUGAACAACAGUUCUGGUGGACAUUCCUGAAGUCAUCAUGACAAUUCCGCGCGCCCUCAACUUGAGACAUCUGUGGCAUUGGGUUGUGUGACAAAACUGCACAUUUUAGCGUGACCUUUUUUUUGUCCCCAGUGUCGUGUAUUGGUGUGACGUACUGAUAUGACAUCACCACGUCCACUCUGGACCAGGUGUUUGAUGGCAUUUGAGCUGUUCGCGGAUGGUCAAGGACUAAUACGUGACGCUGAUGCAGUUACAAAACAACAGAGGACAGCUUUGCUUCUACGUCAUGCUGGGACAGAUGUGCAGGACAUUUUCUCCACACUCGCAGACGCCGGAGAAUCAACGGACUACGUCAGGGCUGUGGCUAAGUUAAAUGGAUACUUCGUGCCACAGGUGAACACAGCGUUCACGAGUCAGACAUUUUAACAACUGACACAUAAAACUGGUGAGACAGUUUAGCAAUUUGUUACAUGUCUUAGACAAGCAGCUAAAGACUGACUUUUCUGGAGAUAAGGACAAUCAGACUAGAGAUACCAUACCGAGCAAUGUUGGAGAUUUUCCAGUCAUCUGAUGAUUUUCAGUAACCUCUACUGUUCUCUUUGAAGUAGAAAGAAUAAUGUUUAUAAGCUUAAAUAUUAGACAUGUGUAAGCAGAAUGAAGGCUAAACCCAUGUGAGUGUCCAAGCUGGAUCAACAUCGAAUUGACCAUUUGGACAUGUAAAGAACAGAACGUAAGCAGAAUCUGUGUAGAUGAGG